rnacentral:tRNA from 1 species
UGGAUCACCUCCUAACAGGGAGACAAACAACGAUUUUGAUGUCUGAGUUAUUUAUUCUUAGGCCAAAAUCCUGUCACCUUAGGUCGAUCGGUACCUCAACUUUGAAGCUAAGAGAGUUCCAGCAAUGGUUGUCUGCUUAGUGGAGAUUUUUAGUUCCUAAACUUUGUCUAGUUCACAACCCAUUAGGGAUGAGACUCCUGGGCCAUUAGCUCAGGUGGUUAGAGCGCACCCCUGAUAAGGGUGUGGUCCCUGGUUCAAGUCCAGGAUGGCCCAUUCGAUGUAGGGGGUUUAGCUCAGUUGGUAGAGCGCCUGCUUUGCAAGCAGGAUGUCAGGAGUUCGAGUCUCCUAACCUCCACUGACUACCAAAAUCCCCAUCUCCAAAACCUGGAGUAUGUACUCGUAUGGAUUGUGAUUUAGAUUUGUCCGCUAGAUGACCCUAGCUUCUUGUCAUUUUAAGGCAUGGAAAUAAUUCCAUGAUUUGAUUGAUAGGAUGCUGGGCUCGAUGCAAUGUAUUGAGAGAUCAAUGCAUUGUUUUGAUGUCUAGCCGAACCUUGACAACUGCAUAGUUUAAGUCUGGAAAGAAUAAAGCAUCUUUAUGGAUGCAUCAUUUUUUGUGUUAAUGCAUGAAGGAGUGAUGUUAAUUCUAAAGCAAGAGCCGAGACUCCAGUAUGUUCUUUCAAAUGUGUCGAGCAUUUGAGAGUUUGAUUUUAAUUUCUAGUUUUAGGAGCUAUAUUUAGUGUCUGACUUUAGAAAUUAGAAAAAUCUGUUUCAACAACAGCAAGCGUGCUGAGAUACAUUGGUCAAGCUACAAAGGGCUCACGGCGGAUACCUUGGCACACAGAGGCGAUGAAGGA